GGGAAAGUAAUUACCAUGUAGUCUCACAUACUGCAUUCGGUGCAAUUGCUAUGUAUUUGGUUGAGAAAAUGAUCUUUAGAAGAAAGAGAUUCGUAAGUUGGGAGAGGUGCACACGUUCAGAUUCACGGAGGACGCAACACUCGCACGUAUGAAGAGAAAGUAGGAAAAAAGACAAAUAAGUACACGUCAGCAGACAAAGGUUAUAUGGUAUUUUGUCAUGUUUCACAAGUAGAGGCUAGACAAGUCUAAAAGUAUCUUAUUGUAGUGGAUCAAUAAAGGCUCAAACAGACAACCUGCGUUUGUUAAGAUAUUGGAC
rnacentral:lncRNA from 1 species